AGGCAGCAAUGGCCAGCUGGGGAAUGGCUACGGAGGCCGCUGCCCUCUGGGGAAAUGCUGAGCACUGCAAUGCCCCUCGCCUGCCCAGCAAGGAAGACAGACCCUUGGGCUUGGCCUCUGGUGCUGCCUGGCCGGGGGUCUCCUCCAUGCUAGAACCACAAACGUGCUUCCCUGCUUGCCUCCGCGUGCCAUGCAAGGGGCUUGCUGACCAGGGUGGGAGUGGCAUGGGCCUGCAGCCACCACCCAGCACCUCAUUCAUUCAUUUGGCAAACAUCAAUGAGGCCAUGUGCCAGGGACCAUGUUCCCAACAGGAGAAAUCAUGAGAAGAAAACAGACUCGAUCAACGCCUGCCCUCAGGGAGGGCAUCACUUGGUGACCGCCUAGCGGGGGAACCACAUCCAAGUUAGGGGCCUUGUGCAUGGAAAAGAACACUUCAUUCUUUGUGUUUUCAUUUAUAAUCGAUUUAUUAAAGUUGUUAGAUAAAAAUCUCA
rnacentral:lncRNA from 1 species